rnacentral:lncRNA from 1 species
UUUCCGAAGUCAACUUUUUGUUAGUUGUAUGUUUUAAUCAGAGUUAUUUGUUUUACUGAAAACUUAGAGAGUGUUUGGUUCUCCGUAAAACCGUGAAAAAUGAUUUAAUCAACUAAUUGCUGCUGUGAAAAUGAUGCGAUAUUUUAAUUAUUUUCUCGUCAUCAAUUAGGAUAUUACUAUAUCACUUCCACAUUAAAGAUAUGUUAAUAUUUAGUCAACUACAUCGACUGUCUCUAGAGCAAGUGACAAAGGAUUUGGUGGUUGGUACCGGAGAUUUAAAUUCGAAUCCUAAUUGAUUCACAUUUCUAGCUAAGUUUAUUUCUAAAUGAAACAAACGAAGCAGGUAGCGUGCUACCUAUCCCUCUAAAAAAAAA